GCUCAUGAAACAUAGAGAAAUAAUAUAUUUCCAUUUGAAUAAAAUUUAUCAUAGGAUUUAGCAACUUGUUUGCGCAUUCAUUUUGGAGCAUUUAUUUUCAUUGUAUUGUGUGAAUUUUAUCCAAGUUCAAAAUCAUUUCAAACUGAUUUGAAAACGGUUUUCAAAUUUUCUGAAAUAGGUUUUGGAAAUAAAAGAAAAGAAAACAAAGAAAAGAAAAGAAAAAAAGAGAAAAACCUUUUCCCCCUCUGCUUUGUGGGCCGAAGGCCAGUCCCUCAAUCCUCUCUCACUCGCUCACGGGCCACGAGCAGGACAGCCCAAGCCAGACCCGCGUCCUUGCCCUUUCUUCAUCCCUCGCUGACAUCGAGGCCCGCCUGGCAGCGACCCCAGCCAUCUUCCACCUCGCGCCGUAAGGAAGCGGGAAUCCGACCGGGAGCCAAAUCCCGAUUCGCAUGGGAUUUCUUGCCACCACGCUCAACCGAGCCUUCUAAAAGCCCAUGACUCUCCCCUAUUCCCUCCUCUUUCCCAUCUAUACGCAUUCAUGGCUGACACCGCUGCUCCCCGACGCCGUUUGGAUAUCCACCGAGGAGCUUCACCCCUGCCGCCAUGGAACUCCCGGUUCUUGGCCAUAGAAGCAAGACCAAGGCCGUGCCGAUCUCCGCGCUGAGGAAGUAGGUGCCGAGCCCUUCCCCGUACUCUCUACCGUGUUCUACCGCUCUCACACC
rnacentral:lncRNA from 1 species